rnacentral:lncRNA from 1 species
AUCCAUUUCACCUUUUAGCAUCAAUUAAAUUGACACAUAGAUUAUUAAUUAAAAAGUGUUCAAUUAAAUAAAAUAUAUAAUUACAAAAAAUUAAAACGCUAAUUUUAACGACGCUAACGCUUCCAGCUAAACCUUAAACUCUAAAUCUUAAAUUCAAAACCCUAUACCCUAAAUUCUAACCUAAAUCCAAACUCUAAACCCAAAUCUCAUACCCUAAACCCUAAUCCUAAACCCUAAACUCAAAAACUAUACUAUAAACCUAAACUCUAUAUCCUAAACCCAAGUGCUAGACCCUAAACCCAAACCGUAAACCUUAAUCCCAAAUUAUAUACCCUAAACCCAAAACCUUAACCAUAAAUCCAAACGGUAAAUCCUAAACCCAAACCGUAAAUCCUAAAACCAAAACCUAUACCCUAAACCAAAUCCUCGACCCAAAACCCAAACCGUAAAUCCUAAACCUAAACACCAAACUUAGAUUCUAUAGGGUUUGGGUUAAGGUUUAAGGUUUGGGUUAAGGUUUAAGGUUUGGGUUUAGGGUCUAAUACUUGGGUUAAGAGUCUAGGAUUCGGGUUUAGGGUAUAGGGUUUACGGUAUGGGUUUAGGGUUUAAGGUUUAGGGUUCAAGGUUUGGGUUUAGGGUUUAAGGUUUAAAAUUUCGGUUUAGGGUUUAAAGUUUACGGUUUGGGUUUAGGGUCUAGCACUUGAGUUUAGGGUAUAGAGUUUAGGUUUAUAGUCUAGUUUGUAUAUAAUUUGGGUUUAAGGUCUAGGAUUUAGGGUUUGGGAUUUGAGUUUAGGGUUUGGACUUGGGUUUAGAAUUUAGGGUAUAAGAUUUAGAAUUUAAGAUUUAGGGUUUAGUGUUUAGCUGGAAGCGUUAGUGUCGUUAAAAUUAACGUUUUAAUUUUUUGUAGCUAUUUUUUAUUUAGUUUAAUGCUUUUUAAUUAAUAGUCUAUGUAUCAAUUUGAUUGGUAUUAAAAGGUGGAGUGAAUUUAAAAGUUCACC